CUCUGUUACACUAUUGUUGCACUGGGGAAGAUGUAGUUGAGGAUCUGCCAGCCCUUUCUUUUCCAGGCUAAGCGUGACCAGCCCCUCUCAUGUGCUGCAGUCCUCCAACAGUCUUUGCAGCCCAGCACUGUGCUCUCCAGUUUCAAAAUGAAUCUCCCAUCCUGGGGGACUCCAGACCGGCCAGGAUGUUCCAGAUGCUGCUUCAGAAGUGCUGUGCAGGGAGGAAUAAUCUUUUUCCUCAGUCCAGUGACUAUCCUUUUGUUAAUGCUGCCCACUAUGCAGUUAACCUUUAUUGCCUUAAGUGUUGAUGCUGAUCCAUGCUUAAUUUAAUGUCCACCUGUUCUCCAGCAGAUCCUUUUCUGUAGAUCAGAGCAGGAGCUGUUCUGUCCCUAGGUCAGGUUCGUCUCAUCCUACUCUUCUAACUUGUCAAGAUCUUUAUGUCAGAACUGCUCUUCAGGCAGUUCUGGUGACUUGUGCUUUGAAAAUGUGUUUUAAAAAGUAUAAGAAAACUUUUGAUGAUAAUGUAAAAGUACAUACAAAUUAAUGCAACAGAAUUGUGUCUAUUUGGACCACUGAAAAUAGCAAGAGAAAGAGCUGUCUUGGAGGACAGGGAGAGGUAGUGUAAUAAAUCAUGGUGUUAUAGUGGUAGUUGGAAGUUUGAGCAGUGACUUUUAGAAAGAAUGAUGGUACUGCUGGGAAUGCUUUCUUCAUGUGUAUCAUGUAGAUACAUAGGACUCCAUGGUCUUUACUGUAGGCAGGAGUUCUGACUAGGACUUAGUUUUUGGUAGGUUGUUGACCUUUGAAAUGUAGGUAAUAAUAUCUAACCCUCCUACACUGUGGGUGUUGUGAUGUUUCAUUAGUUUGUUCCGUACUUCAGGCAUCAACGCAAAGUGAGCCUUUCCUUUUCAGAUAUAUACCUAGCAAGUAACAAGACAACAGACUUUUACUUGGGUACAGCGUGUUGUAUGUGAAGAGAACCAAAAGCAGGUGCUUCA
rnacentral:lncRNA from 1 species